AUGCGCACGCAUGUGUGUGAAUGCAGCGUACUUGUGAAAAAUGUUGGUUGCACGCGAAUCGAGCAACGCGGCUCAUUGUCCGACACGAGUUCACCUGCUGCCUGCCGAUGAAGAAAUUCUGACAAAGAACCUCACAGGUGCCAUUCGUUUUUUUCACAAUGUUACACACUGAGGUGCCUAAAGGGUAUACAACUUUAUAACCCGUUGUCCGCCGUGUUGCGCAACCAUCAACCGUUGAAAAAAAAGAUCAAGCAUACUUCCUUUACCUUUCUCGUCACUUAUCGAGUGAAAAUCAUUCGUGAAGCCACGCACGAUUCAAAUUUGUAGAGGAUUAGCAUUGAACAAUGAGAAGAACCAUCCAUCGAUUAAUCCAUUGACUUGAAGAUUAACACCAUAUUUCGAAAUAUAUCUACAAUUAAUUGCGUUUAAUGAUGGGAUCAAGUUUGAUAUGUAAGUAGUUAUAAAUAUCAAUCUGAUGGAAAAGAUUCAUUUUAUAGGACUAAAAUAUUAUUAGUAAGAUACAAUCGAAUCUUGAAAUUCUCUGUAAGACUACAAUUUUAUUCAAUCUCUUUACAAUCUCUAUUAUAAUUUUUCUAAAUCGAAAAAAGUUAUUUUAAUUCAAAUUAUUUAUCAAAUAUCAAUGCAUUAUUUUAUAUCUGAAACCUAAACUUAAAAUAGUCAAACUUCUACAAGUCAAAAUUAACAUAUUCUGUAAUUGAAUUUUUAUUGUCGCAAUUUUUACAACUCGAAGUUUAAGGUUAUGUAUCGAAGCUAUUAGAAAUUAAAAAUUAUUUUUUUUCUUAAUUUUUUAUAAGAAAAAAUUUUAAUUUAUAUGAAAAGUUUGUUAAAAUAAACUUUUUCAUUUGAAAAUUUUUACAAUUCAGAAUCUUUAUGACUCGAAAAUUUAUAUCUCUUUCCUUAAAGUUCGACUUAUCGAGAUUCGAUUGUAUUAGAAGAAUUUAACACUCUGAAGUAAGCUAUGGAUGAUAGCAUACUUUGUUUUUUUUAAAUCUUCGCUUAAAAAAUUGAUAAAUAAAUAAAAAUAAUAUUAUAUCAUAAGAUAAAUAUAAUAUACAAUGUGAAAAAAUUAUUUUCAAGAAAAUUGAUUUCUAGUAAGUACUGUAUUCUUAAAAUUUCGGACAAUAUUUGAUUCUAUAUACUCGAAAAUACUUAUAGAGGGUCUUGCUCAGAUUCUACUCAAAAGAAUUAUUUCAUAUUUACGAAAUAUUCUGGUACGUCAAUAUUAAAUGAUCGUAUUGUUUACGUAUACUCAAUCCCAUCAUUAACGGCAUCAAUUUAAUCAAGAAGCACAAACGACUGCUAGCUGCGCUUUUUGUAUCGGCUAAUUACAGGCAAGGUCAAGUCGAAUGGCAGCAGCUUAGCUCGUGGAAAAAAAAACGAAACACGCGUGUCACAAGCGCGCAAGCUGCACGGUGUUCGCGCUCGGCGUGCGUAGCCAACGGACCCCCAUAAAAGAGCAGUGCAGCUGUGUUUUUUUUCGAAAAAAUCCGUGCCGUGUGUGCGGGAGCAUGCGGUCGAUUCGACGAGACAGUCACGGAGAAGAGGAGGAGGAGGAGGAGAAGGAAGAAGAAACAGAAGAAGAGGGCAGGUAAAGAAGAAACAGAAGCGCGGAAGGAGAAUCAGAGGCAGAGAGAGGAAGGCGAUCGACGUGGAGAGGCGGAGGCAAUGGAAAAAGAAACGAUUCGCCGCGGACAGAGGGUUGAAGAACGGGUUGAAGAAGCGGUGGAAGAAGGAGGAGAAGAAGCGGCGCAACAUGCCGAGGGUACCGGUCGAGGUGAAGGAGGAUAGCGAAGGGGCAAGGUGCUGCCAAGGUGGCGGUUAGGGCAGCUGAUCUUCGAAUAGCAGCAGGUGAAUGCGAAGAAGCUCGCGCUCGUGGAUGGAGCGAGACAACCGGGAUGGUAGUUGCGGUAGAUGCGCCGCUGGCUGUGGAGGAGGAAGAGGUGGGAUCCACGCGUGCAUAAAAGGUGUUUCGUUAUUGUUACCAAGCGCGCGCGCGCUACCCGCCUCUUGGAUUUAUUAAUCUUAUUCGCCAACGGGUUCCUCUUGCUACCCUGAUCAAUCCAAGUCAACGUCGAACGUAUCUAACUUGUCCUCCUCAAUCUUGGUCGAAGAAAGCACUCGUCAGUUGCCAAGGAGGUGCGCAAGGUGGCCGAGGAAUCUGUGAGACUUAACGGUUGGACACGCCACGGAAGAACAAGUGCAGGGUGCACUUGUGGGAAGAAGGUCAGGGGUGUUCCCAAGUUACGUUGGAGGGUGCCUUGGCCACGAAGGUGGCGGGUCCUUCUUCGUGGUCGUCGAAUUAAUAGGCCAUCUGCUUCUGCCUCCUUCGAGGAAGUCAAUGUUUAGGAAGUCCAUGGGAAGCGGCGACAACGGAAAGCCCCAUAAACGAUCGGAGACAUGGGAACGAACGUUUGCAAGGAAGUCGCAUGCGGCCCUGUUACGCACGAUAUAUUCCUUCGCCUUCUGCUAAUCAGGGGCAAGACAGCGUAGGUGUGAGCGGCUAGCUAUAAGGAAACGAUGAGUUUGGAUCAAGGAUACUCCCAAGUGGUUACUUUUCCGGUCUUUCUACUCUUACUGUGAGACGUCCAACGUUUCUCUAACGGAUCUCUGAUUAGCCGUAUCGAAUAGCUAUGAGAAUUCCUUGGGUAAAAAUGGAACAAAAAACGAGCAAGUCUUCAAAGUUUUACGUCAUAGAAGGUUUUGAAAUAAGUAAAAGACUUAAGAGAUAUUUCCAAAGAUUAAAAUAAAUACAAAGGUUGGUAUAAUAUAUAAGAUGUUGAAAUUUAUUGAAUAAACAAUUUAAUAGAUGAAGUAUGGAAGUGAGUAAGAUGGAAAUGAGAUAAAGUAUGAGAAAGAUAAUAUGUAUUUUCAGUUUGAAAAAUUUUCCAAACGAAAAAUUGUAAAAAAUUUAACUUCAAUAAAAAAGUUAAAUCAUCAUGAAUUUGAAGAAUUCUUCUAUUUCUACACUUUCUGUAUCCAUCAAACAAUUACUUAUGUCAUGUUAAUCUAAUCAUUUAGAUUAACUAUCGAAUGAUCGAUCUAGCCAGUAAAGAUUGGAAUUCCACGAAUUGCAUUGAAGAAUUGCGUUUCUUUGCACUUUCUCAAGACACCGUAGGCGAAGAAAAAUUGCGGGUGAGGACUAUCAAUAACUUCUGCGGAAUUCGCGCUAAAGGUUAACCGAAAGAGCGACCCGUCGCGUGUGUUCACGGAUCGAUCGGAGAAAUCGUCGAUCGUAGCUGCAAGAUCAUUUUUUACAAAACGAUCUUUCUAUCAACACAAGAUCGAAGAUUCUUAAUUAUCUAACAUAUUAUGUAACCCUUAAACAAAGAAUCUUAAGAUGGUCAUAGUUGAUGUUAUGCAUGGUGAUUUUACGGUUGAUGGAAGAUCUUGAAUUGGUGGAACGAAGUAAGAUGAUCGGAGAGAUUGAAAGCUGGAGGAUGGAAAAAGAUCAGAAAAUGAGCAUGAAAAAGGAGAAAAGAUCGAAAGAAGAUUAGUGAAAGAAGAAGAAAGAGAAAGAAAACUAAAGUUAGAAGGAUAUACGAUAGGAUCUACGAGGGCUUCUGUCUUCAGCGUGACUGAGAACCACAAAUAUGAACGUAUAUUUGCUACGACUCGGUGGAAAGAGCGUGAAAAGAAGCCUUGGCAUGGAAACUGGUUGACGUGUCCACAAUGGCGGGCAGGGUUACGUAGGCGCCCUUGGAUCCCUAUUCAGGAUCAGCCUCCUCGAAUAGGAGCUCGAAAAGGAUACGGUGCUCUCGGCAUCGCGAGCACCCACGCGAGAAACAGGGAAGCUUUGUGGAAAAAAAAGGGGAGAGAGUAACGGUAAAGAAAAGAAUAUUUAUAUUUCAAAGAUGAAACUUUUGUCGAGUGUAAAUUGUCGCAAAUCGAAUUCAUCAAUUAUAAUUGUGAAAAGGUGACACAAUUUAAGACACUUGCACUCGAGUAAUUAAAUUGGACAUAACAGAAAGCGAUACAGUGAAAAUGCAUCGAUAAUAUUUCUUUGAAAUAAAAAAAGAAAUGGAAAAAGGAAACAUCUGGCUGUGCGUAACUAAAAUUCUUCUUUAUAUUAUCGUAAUUUAUUUAAUUGAUAAUAUAAAUAAUAUAAUUAUGUUAAUUACUAAUUAAACGAGCGAUUGAUCGCAGUUGUUGGAGCAAUAAUUGAGAUAAAACGACUAUUCUUUGUGAUCAUAAUAUAAGAUGAUCACCGCAGAUGCAAUGGAUCGAUUUUAUCGUAAUUUUUUUUAUUCUAGAAUUGAAUAUUGGUCAUAGCAGAAAAAUUUAUUUCUUAUAGGAGUUAUUGAAACCACAAAUUCUUUCAAAAAAGCAAAAUCAAGUAUUCAAUAUAUUUUUUGCACUCUUCUUAUACUUCCAUUCUAGAAAUAUUGUUAUUUCUUUCUGUUUCUGCAAAAACAAUGUGUUAAAGAAUCCAAGGUUGUUAUGUUAUUACUAAUCCACGAUGGAACAAUGUUUCACUUUCGAUCUUUCUUGGGAGACGAUAUAUUUUUAUAAUUAUAAAAGGAUAUAUUUUUAAUAAGAAUUUCCUAAAUUAUGAAUAAUUAUGAAUAAAAAUAAUAAUGAUUCAAGUACAUAAAUAUGAUUCAAAUUGAAGACUCAAGCUGAAAAUUUAUGCUGUAGAAAAUAUGGAUUUAACAUGUAAUUCUUACAUCACAACGUGAAUAGAGUCGUAAUCGUCUCGAAUAAUACAAUAAUACAAAAUAAUACAAUAAUUAUCUUAAUUUGGUCUUUAGAAUUUAAAUAUUUUUAAAUAUAAUAAGAUAAGAAUUUGAUAUUUAUAGAAAGAUAGUAUAUAUUAAUUAAAACUAAUAAGGAUUAAACUUCUUAUUAUGUUUACAGGUAAUGAAUUAUAACUAGAAGAGGAAUUAAUGUAUAAUGUUAUGUAUACAAAAUGUUUCAGAAGGGAUAGUUGAUAAGUUGACAGAAGAUAUUGAUAAGAAAGAUAUAAAUUGGUCUUCAAUGUAUCCCUAUUAUUCAGUUUGUAAACGUAUUCGUCCACCUGUUGCUCCCUUCUUUUAGUCACGCUCAUACACCGGUGUUUUAUAUAUGUAGUAGAAUUGAUGAAAUAUCACUUUUGAUAUCGAAAAUAAUGCUUGUUUUUUGAACACUUAUUUUUUUUUUUAAAGAACAUAGAAAUAUUUAAAAAUUUUCAAUUUUGUUUAAGAAAUUCAAAUUUUCUUUAAAAAAAUAUCUAUUGAAUAUUAUUAUAAAUAAAUCUUUUAAAUAUUUGUAUUAUAUUAAAAAGAUUAGAAUUAUAUCUAAAAAAUAUCUAAAACUGAAAUUGAGACUCUGUUUUCAAGAUAUUUAUUUAUCAUCUAUUAAAAAAUUGUAAUUAUAUAUUAAUUUAUUAACAUUUCAAUCUUCUAAUAUUUUAUUCUUGAUCUUUGUUACUUUCGAUUCUUUUUCUUUUAUAUCAUAUCAUAUAAAGAUCUUUGAAUUUAUUACUAACAAAAUACACUUUUCCAAAUGUAUCACUAAUAAAUAUACAAUCAGCACUGGCAGAUAUAAUAUCUAUUUCCUAGAAACAGCACUAGUCUUAGAUCCAAGGAGUAAAUGUGAACCACAAGAAAACAACUCUCGAGAUCUUGUCGAUGAAUCGCCUAGCCUGGAGGAACAAAGAGAGAAGAGAGUAGGAGUAAAACAGGCAAUGGCAGAGAAAGGAUCUCGAGAAGAGGAAAGAGAAGAGUGAGCCGCCCCCAGCAGAGCACGCAGCCUCCGUGGAUCGCUCUGUCCCACAUCCGACUAUAGUUUACUCCAUAUAAGUUCCUUUCUCUAAUUUCUAAUCAUCUAUAACAUCAUAUACUCUUGAUUUUAAUUUAAUUUUCAAUUUAAUUCAAGACAAGAAAGAAAUGGUGAAUUCCUAGAACAGAUAAAUUAUAUUUUAAUCUUUCUUCGAUAAGAAUGUUUAAAUCAAAACUGAUGAUUGAUAGAAGAAUAAAUCAUAUAUAUCAAAUCGAGCAGCUGUGUGGAAAAAAUAAGAGUGGACUCAAAACAAGCGAUAACACAGGAGAAGGUGCUGUGUAAAGGUGCUCGGCCCAGAAGACAGACAAACGCAUACCCCAACUCCUUAAGUCAAUCAUUUUAUGGGCGUUUCAAGAGACUCGGCAUGUUUUCGUUAUUUUUUCGAAGCAAAGUGGUCUGACGAGAGAGAGAAUCAUAAGAAGGAGGAAGAGGAAGAGGAAAAAAGAGGAAUAAGAAAGAAAUAAAAAGAGAACGGAAAGGGAAAAAAGCGAAGAAGCAAGAAGCCGCCCCCAGCAGAGCACGCAGCCUCCGUUCUAGCUGGUUCUGUCCCACGCACUAUUAUGGUUUGCUCUGCCCAAGUUCCAUUAUAUUCUUCUUUCAAAUGUAUCCAACAGAUAUAAUUAAUUUAAUAAUCUCCAUUGUCUUAUUUUUCUUGCAGUUUUAUCAAAUACAAUGAAACUAUUUUUGUUAACAAUGCAUAUUUUUGGUAUUUUGAUUUCCAACUUGGGUCAUUUAUAUUUAUAAUUAUUUUACUUAUUGUUCUGGAAUCACAAAAUUUAAGAAGAAUUCUAUUUUAUUAUAUACAUAAAUAUAUAAUUACAUUAUAAUUAUUAUAUAUAUAUUUAUUUAUAUUGUAUAUUUAUAAUAUUUUAUUUAUUACAUUAAGAUUACACAUAUGCAGAAAAAGAUUUAUUCUCAAAAAUAAUAAUCUCUUCGAAGAAUUUUAAUUUGGAUAUGAACGAACGAGAAGUUAAGUUUUAAACGAGAAAUAGUUUGAAAUCUCUAAAACUUUUCCACUCAACGAUGAAAUCUUCAAACCCGGGAAAAUCUGAUGAACUGGCGAUGACCAUCGAUUGGUUUGGUCAUAGUCCCAAAGGACGGUAACGCGAGUCCUUUUUUGGCGUCCCGACUGACCUAAUUGGGACCACCAUGCUCGUGUCCGCUCAUUCAUCGAUCGCGGCAUGCUACCGCUCGUGUAAUUAACCCGAUUUACUGCGAAAUAGAAGAAGUCAGAGAAAUAGAUCCCAAUAAAAUUAUUAUUUAUUAGAUAAAAAUUCUCUUGUAAAAAAAAAGCGCUUUAAAUGGUGAACAAGAUACUGGUUUGACUGUUACUUCGAAGGUGACCACAGUAACAUUCAGCAAUGAAAUACGUAAUAAUUUCACCAUGAAUUUCCGAACUUUAUUGCCUCGUAUGAGCAAUGAACAACUUCACGAGUACCCGCAUACAUUAACACCACUACGAACAAAUGACAUUUGGACGGACGUUGGGAAAUAAAUUUCGGUUUUGUCAGCGAGGAUGCGGCGCGCCGUGAAACCAGCCCCGAGCUGGAAUAAAUCUCCGAGCCGCGAUCGUCAUUCCUUCGCGAAUGACAAAUGCGUGCCCGUAUAAAAAGGGAGACGAAGCUCCACGGAGACGAGGAGGUGAAUCAGAAUGGCUGGAUCGAUCUGAACAUCGUCCGAUCGGGUUAAAAUAUACAAAUAAACUCGAUAACGGUACGGUGGUCGAUCGACGUCGAAAUCUCGCAUGGGGUCGAUCAAAUGGAAAUCGAUUGGUGUUUCUUCGAAAAUAAAACAACAAAAAUGGAAUAUUAAUAUUAUGAAGAUAUAUUAAUUAGUUUUAAACUCAAAUUUUUAUGAGAUUGGAAUUAAUAAAAUUUAUUUUUUUAUGUUUAUA